UAUAAAGUGAACACACUUUACAGGAAAGAAAUAGAAGCAGAUCAGCGGCAUUUUGUCAAAAUUCCCAAGCUGUGAUGUUGAUUAGAGGAGUGCCCUGGGUAUGGCAUGGCUAACACAGGAGAACAGCCCACUGCUGAUCCUAGCCGUGACCUGGGAGGGCCAUGGUCAAUGAUGGAGAUACCACAGCUCUACAGCUCCUAGAAGGUAGGAUGACUAUAGCUUCCCAAGCAUCAUUCCCAUGGGUCAAAUGGACAGGUUGUCUCUGCUAGCAAAUUCUUUUUGGAAGAAAGUUCACUGAAGCCUAGUACAUGUACAACAGGUAAUAAAGACUGAAGAGCACAGUUAGCAGGGAAAAAAGCCCCAAAAUCAAAACCCACACACAAAGACCAUUUAAGCUUGACACUGCAGUGGAAUUCCUUCUGUUGUCAGGGUGACACUCGCAGUGUCACUGGGGUGUACAUAUCUAGCGCACUUCACGUCUCAAACAGGAGACUAGGCAGCAAGUUUGGGGUGUGUAGGUAGAUUAGGGACUGGCCCAGGGAAAAUGAGAUGUGUGCAGAAAAUGGAUGAGAAAGAGAGAAGGUAAGGAGAGAGAAGCAGCAGAUGCAGAAGUCCAAGGAAACAUAGGAGAGGGUGACAGGGGAAAUGACUGUCCCUGCAAGGAUGUCCACUCUAGGGGUACCUCUGGCUCAAAGAUUACAGGAUAUAAAAGGUGAAAGGUCAGUGCCAUGAGCAGAUCCUUGUGUUGAGUCACAAAGUGUGAAGCUGCUGUCCCAUAGAGGAAGGGCUCACCAUCCCCAGGCAGCCUGGCUGACAGCUGACCCCCAAAGAAGCCAUGGGCACCCACUACCCGACCCCAGCCUGAAGGCUUUCAUCCCCCACUCAAGCAUCAGCCCUAGCUAAGGGGCAGACUCUUGCCGGGGGGCAGCUUCACCCCACCGGUGCCACGGGCGGGCAGGCCGCCGGGUCCCACGGGAGCCCCAAGGCAGCGGCUGGGCACGGCCGCUCGCCGCGGGGAACGGGCAGGGCUUCCCCCGCCGGACCCGCGCCCUCCGCUGGGGCCAUGUUGGCAGCCCGGGAACGGGCAGCGCCUGGCAGCGUCAGACGGGAA